GAAGGAAGGAAGGAAGGAAGGAAGGAAGGAAGGAAGGAAGGAAGGAAGGAAGGAAGGAAGGAAGGAAGGAAGGAAGGAAAUCUCUCAGUGUCUCUCAGCUGUCACAGUAUGAUUGUAGGUUAGCAGUACUUGAGCCCUGAUCCUUUUAACAACGGUUGGCUGCUCCCCCUUUCUCAUCUCAAGUGGGCUGGGACCCACCAAUGAAGCUGAGGAACAAAGCAUCCAACUAGGACACAGGCUGUCAGCCAAAAAAGGGGCAAAGCAUAUGUAUAAAUUCAAAAUUUCCAACACAAUUGCAUUUUUAUUUGUUUAA
rnacentral:lncRNA from 1 species